rnacentral:lncRNA from 13 species
AUGUCCUCCAUGUCCUCUGAGAAUACAGCCUCUGGAUUAGUGGAAACCUUUGUCAAAGGAAUGGCAACUAUUUUCCAGAAAAAUGAGUCCACUGACACUGUGCUACUGGAAAGAAGUGGGAGAGGUUCGCAGUGCUCCCACGGGGGCUCCCAACUGGAUGAUACUGAAUUGAGUGUUAAAAUAUCAGAGGAGAAGCUUUGGUCAACAGCUAAGACCAUCUGCGUCAGUAUGAAGAACACACUUAAGGAUUUCUUCACAGGGCUGAAGCCACCCGGAUCCGAAAGGACAGAAAAUGCUUCUUCCAAAGAGACCCUUGGGGAAAUCCUGGUUGCUAUCCAGAGUGAAAUCUCAAACUUAGGGCGAAUGAAGGAUUCCAGGGAGCUCCUUCAGAUCAAUGAUAUGGUAGGAACUAUGCUGAAGGAGGUUGAGAAAAGUGAGGAUGACAGUGAACAAGUCUGCCAAGACAUCCCUAGAACCUGUUCAUCUUUAUCCACUUCUUUAAAUGGUCGUAGUUCCUUGUCCAGCUCUUCAAAGAGUCCUAGGUCAGAGUGUGAGUUAGAGAUCAACCUCCCUGGCACUCCCAUCCCUGACGAAGUGCCUUUUGAUCUGACCUGCCCCAUCGUCAGGAGCUCCUGCAUCGACACCAGGGACUCUAAAAUGCCAGAGAUUUCUUCAAGUGACCUAAAGACAAAGAUGAUGGCACACACAGAUGAACCCCUGCAUCGUAACAGUCCAAUGACUGACAGCAGUCGACCACCGAGUGCUAAAUUCGCUUUUCGAUCCUCCACUCCGUCUUUCACCAGCAAGGGAACCUCUUUGGUACCAAAGAGAGAUGGGAUUGACAUUGAAGAGAAGGAGGAGUGUAUCCCCAGCAGCUCUGGCCAUCUGAGGGAGCUCUUAAUCACCCCGGACAUCAGCAGUGCCACUGCAUUCCCACUGCAGUACUUGAUGGACUCCAGCAAAGAUGAUGUCAUCUGUUUGGUCACCAUACUGGUGAUAAGGUUGCUAUUGGAGAUCAGACCCUCAACCCUAGAUGGACCCUCCCAACAGGCAGCAGACAUGACAGAAACAUCUCAGCAACUCAUCAGACAAGUCCUGUCUGAGUUCUGUGCUGCAUCCAGAUUCUCCAGGACACAGGCAUAUUCCCAGAUCCUGUACAUCCAAAGGGUGUUCAGAGGUGUACAUAAAAACAUCAUGGAGGAGUUUGGCUCUUAUAACACCCUGCAAGCAGCUAUUUCCUCCCAGGACCCUGCAUUUGACAGAGUCCUGGUAAAGUCCUUGACCCAGCAGCUGGUACAGGGAUGCAGGGAGGCGUCAAGUUAG